rnacentral:rRNA from 1 species
GUAGGUGGCAAGCGUUGUCCGGAAUUAUUGGGCGUAAAGCGCGCGCAGGCGGGUCCUUUAAGCCUGAUGUGAAAGCCCACGGGCUCAACCGUGGAGGGUCAUUGGAAACUGGGGGACUUGAGUACAGAAGAGGAAAGCGGAAUUCCAAGUGUAGCGGUGAAAUGCGUAGAGAUUUGGAGGAACACCAGUGGCGAAGGCGGCUUUCUGGUCUGUAACUGACGCUGAGGCGCGAAAGCGUGGGGAGCAAACAGGAUUAGAUACCCUGGUAGUCCACGCCGUAAACGAUGAGUGCUAAGUGUUAGGGGGUUUCCGCCCCUUAGUGCUGCAGCUAACGCAUUAAGCACUCCGCCUGGGGAGUACGGCCGCAAAGGCUG